GCUGGGCGUGGUAGUGCGUGCCUGUAGUCCCUGCUACUUGGGAGGCUGAGGCAGGAGAAUCGCUUGAACCCAGGAGGUGGAGGUUGCAGUGAGCCGAGAUUACACUACUGCAUUCCAGCCUGGGUGACAGAGCGAGACUCUGCCUCAA
ensembl:misc_RNA Metazoa_SRP Metazoan signal recognition particle RNA